AAAUAGCCAAGGCUUCAUCAGUAAACAAUGAUUAAUCUUCCGCCUUUUAGCCAAUCAACUUGCAAGGAAAUUUUGUAUAGUUUUAUUUUCAACUAGGUAUUAUGAAGAAGUUGCUCAUUUUUUAUUCAAAAUUUAUGUGCAGUAUAUUUUGGCGUUCUCUGAUUGGCAUUGCCUGCGGCUGGCAAAGGCAUUUAGAGUUAUUCACAGGUUCUCAUAAGAGAGAACACGCGAUUAACGAAGGCAACAGAUCUUGAGGUAUUUGCUUGUGAAAAUUGCAGGGCAGGGAAGAUGUGUGGCCUGCAUGCAAAAUAGAACACAUGUCUUAUCUAUUAUAAUUAUUAGAUCUCUUAAAAUUCCUUUGAGACUCACCAUUUUCAGUGGGUCAGUGACGCCUCUAAGACAAAGUAAGAAACUUAGAAUGUGGUUUGCCUCACUUGUAGUCAACAGAGCGUUCGCCAGAAUGAUAUUAUCAGUGUGGUUAAUUGUUUCAGUCUCGGCGUCUUCUUUUUAUGGUAGAGGAGGAGACAGAUGGAAGGCAACCUCUACAACUUUGUAUGAAGACUCUGAGGCUCUAGACACCAUGGGUCUCUUCUAAUAAAGUAUCAAAAUUACCUAUUACAAAGGACUUUCAUUUGGAAGAUGGAAGGACUCACAGGGGGCCAAAAAUUCCCGUAGUGAGCAGGCUAAAGACCAAGGGCACUCAACUAUAUCAGAGGUAAUAGACAAAAUUUCUCACUUUCCCUCAUCUGGAACACAUUUGUAUGGCUUAUGCUUAUUGGCUUCUUCAAUCAAAUAAUUACAAUUGGCCAAAGUUUUUUUAGGGAGAGGCAGAAAAAAGAGAUUGGUUCCUUGACACGAGAGCAGGUUUUCGAAAGGCAUCUAGAAAUAUUGAAUUUGUCUAAUGGAACAGAGGGUCUAAAGUUAGAAUGAAUAAAUUGGUCUCCAUCUUUCGCUCCUAGCUCAAACAAAGGUAGGACGAAUGUGUGGAUUCCUAACAACACCUACAUAAUAGAGUCGCCUUUGCAGCUACACAAUCUCUUUUGUUAUGGAUAUCGUCAUUACUUAGACAUGAUCUUCAUCUAUUUGUAUAAAAUGAAAUGUUGGUCAUUAGCAAUGGUAUAUUAUUUAUGUACAUCAACUUGAAUCUGCUCAAUGUGCUUAUUGUAUUUAUC